GCAGGUGCCCGGAUACAACCUCCUGCUGGCGGCAUUGCGAGUGUCGCUGGCUUGUCACGCCUGAGGUCGCAGGUUCGAGCCCUGUCGCCUGCGCCA
rnacentral:tRNA from 1 species